AGCGGGGUGGAGGAGUGGUACCUCACGAGGCUCAUAACCUCGGGACGCCGGUUCGAGUCCGGCCCCCGCAA
rnacentral:tRNA from 1 species